AUCGAUUAUUGACCGAAAAGUUCACUAGUUCUCUAGUUCACUAGUUCUCUAGUUCUCUUCUCUAGUUCACUAGUUCUAGUUCUCGAUUAUUGACCGAAAAGUUCACUAGUUCACUAGCUCUACUAUUUGUUGCGUUUAUAUUCUUACAAUGUCUGAUUACAACAAAUAGUCUAGUAAAGGGUCAUAUAAAACUCUUCGGGAGGCAACAGGAGCGAAUUUGGAUCGAAAGGAGCAGUUCAUUCCCUUGGAGCUGAACGGGUGAGAGUCGUUUGCACGAUGCAGGGAGAAAUGAGUUGAUUACAAAAUGAUCUGUUGGAUCUACCUUGGGAGAGGAUAAGCACGGCUUCCAGGGCAGUUUUUCAGAAGUCUAAAACUUGUGUUUUGCAGAUGCUGGGCUUCUGUUGAUGUGCACUUGAGGGCCCUGAGAUAGAGUAUUAACAAACAUUCCUUAAUUUUGUAAGAAUCAUUGAGAGGCACAGUUAAUGCUACAGGGUACUGUACUCGAUUUUAAGUCAACAUCAGCUUGGUUUAUGUGAGGGACUCAUCUUCAUUAGUUUUCAUCAAAUAAUACAGUGAAUACAAAGCAAAGAGACACUGGCCAAAUAUACAAGCUUCAGUGAUAUUGCUCUCAUUUCAUCUUCAUAAUAAUGGACAUUGCACUUGCCAUGUCCAUUACAAACUCACCAUGAUUGUGCAUUGCGUAAAAUUAAAGGUUUACUCACUCA